GAACCGAGCGAACGUUGUUCGGAAUCACUGGGCUUAAAGGGCGCGUAGGCGGCUCUUCAAGUCGGGGGUGAAAUCCCACAGCUUAACUGUGGAAGUGCCUUCGAUACUGAGGAGCUCGAGCGAGGUAGGGGCAGAGGGAACUUCUGGUGGAGCGGUGAAAUGCGUUGAUAUCAGAAGGAACGCCGGUGGCGAAAGCGCUCUGCUGGACCUCUUCUGACGCUGAGGCGCGAAAGCUAGGGGAGCAAACGGGAUUAGAUACCCCGGUAGUCCUAGCCCUAAACGAUGGGUACUAGUUUGUGGACUUAUCAUGGGUUCACAGACGAAGCAAAAGUAUUAAGUACCCCGCCUGGGGAGUAUGGCCGCAAGGCUGAA
rnacentral:rRNA from 1 species